rnacentral:rRNA from 1 species
CUUGACGGUACCAGAAGAAUAAGCACCGGCUAACUCCGUGCCAGCAGCCGCGGUAAUACGGAGGGUGCAAGCGUUAUCCGGAUUUACUGGGUUUAAAGGGUGCGUAGGUGGGUUUGUAAGUCAGUGGUGAAAUCUCCGAGCUUAACUCGGAAACUGCCGUUGAUACUAUAAAUCUUGAAUUAUAUGGAGGUAAGCGGAAUAUGUCAUGUAGCGGUGAAAUGCUUAGAUAUGACAUAGAACACCAAUUGCGAAGGCAGCUUACUACGUAUUUAUUGACACUGAGGCACGAAAGCGUGGGGAUCAAACAGGAUUAGAUACCCUGGUAGUCCACGCCCUAAACGAUGGAUACUCGACAUUAGCGAUACACUGUUAGUGUCUGAGCGAAAGC